rnacentral:rRNA from 1 species
UGAACAUUGAGCCUUGAUGUGUAGGAUAGGUGGGAGGCUUUGAAGUGUGGACGCCAGUCUGCAUGGAGCCGACCUUGAAAUACCACCCUUUAAUGUUUGAUGUUCUAACGUUGACCCGUAAUCCGGGUUGCGGACAGUGUCUGGUGGGUAGUUUGACUGGGGCGGUCUCCUCCUAAAGAGUAACGGAGGAGCACGAAGGUUGGCUAAUCCUGGUCGGACAUCA